AACGAACGCUGGCGGCAUGCCUAACACAUGCAAGUCGAACGAACCCUUCGGGGUUAGUGGCGCACGGGUGCGUAACGCGUGGGGAUCUGCCCAAAGGUUCGGAAUAACUCAGAGAAAUUUGAGCUAAUACCGGAUAAUGUCUUCGGACCAAAGAUUUAUUGCCUUUGGAUGAACCCGCGUAGGAUUAGCUUGUUGGUGGGGUAAAGGCCUACCAAGGCGACGAUCCUUAGCUGGUCUGAGAGGAUGAUCAGCCACACUGGGACUGAGACACGGCCCAGACUCCUACGGGAGGCAGCAGUGGGGAAUAUUGGACAAUGGGCGAAAGCCUGAUCCAGCAAUGCCGCGUGAGUGAUGAAGGCCUUAGGGUUGUAAAGCUCUUUUACCAGGGAUGAUAAUGACAGUACCUGGAGAAUAAGCUCCGGCUAACUCCGUGCCAGCAGCCGCGGUAAUGUCGAUAU
rnacentral:rRNA from 1 species